GGAGCAUUUCUUGUACUAGAAAUAAUAGGAAUAAAUGAGUUUGUGGGCGGUUUGUUACGUGUGCUGUGGAAUCCCGAGGCUCAACCUCGGGCCUGCAGUGGGUACGGGCAGACUAGAGUGUGGUAGGGGAGAUUGGAAUUCCUGGUGUAGCGGUGGAAUGCGCAGAUAUCAGGAGGAACACCGAUGGCGAAGGCAGAUCUCUGGGCCGUAACUGACGCUGAGGAGCGAAAGGGUGGGGAGCAAACAGGCUUAGAUACCCUGGUAGUCCACCCCGUAAACGUUGGGAACUAGUUGUGGGGUCCAUUCCACGGAUUCCGUGACGCAGCUAACGCAUUAAGUUCCCCGCCUGGGGAGUACGGCCGCAAGGCUAAAACUCAAAGGAAUUGACGGGGACCCGCACAAGCGGCGGAGCAUGCGGAUUAAUUCGAUGCAACGCGAAGAACCUUACCAAGGCUUGACAUAUACGAGAACGGGCCAGAAAUGGUCAACUCUUUGGACACUCGUAAACAGGUGGUGCAUGGUUGUCGUCAGCUCGUGUCGUGAGAUGUUGGGUUAAGUCCCGCAACGAGCGCAACCCUCGUUCUAUGUUGCCAGCACGUAAUGGUGGGAACUCAUGGGAUACUGCCGGGGUCAACUCGGAGGAAGGUGGGGAUGACGUCAAAUCAUCAUGCCCCUUAUGUCCUGGGCUUCACGCAUGCU
rnacentral:rRNA from 1 species